UUCCGCGCAUGUUCCGACAUGAUAAAACUGACCAAGAACCUGAACCUGAGAACUCAACAAACCUGAUUGAGAUUACGCCUAUACCGCCUCGUCGAACCUCUGACAGUUAGAUUGCGCUAAUUGUCAG